rnacentral:rRNA from 1 species
CCUACGGGUGGCAGCAGUGAGGAAUAUUGGUCAAUGGACGAGAGUCUGAACCAGCCAAGUAGCGUGAAGGAUGACUGCCCUAUGGGUUGUAAACUUCUUUUAUAUGGGAAUAAAACAGGGUAUGCAUACCCUCUUGUAUGUACCAUAUGAAUAAGGAUCGGCUAACUCCGUGCCAGCAGCCGCGGUAAUACGGCGGAUCCGAGCGUUAUCCGGAUUUCUUGGGUUUAAAGGGAGCCUAGGUGGAUUGUUAAGUCAGUUAGGAAAGUUUGCGGUUCAACCGUAAAAUUGCAGUUGAAACUGGCAGUCUUGAGUACAGUAGAGGUGGGCGGAAUUCGUGGUGUAGCGGUGAAAUGCUUAGAUAACAAGAAGAAAUACGAUUGCGAAGGCAGCUCACUGGACUGGAACUGACACUGAUGCUCGAAAGUGUGGGUAUCAAACAGGAUUAGAUACCCGGGGUAGUC